GUGGUCCUUUAAUUCAGUUGCACACGCGCACAGCACUGAUUUAGUUACAGACACAUGUGAUAAUGCUUAUGAAUUAACCAUUCCAAAACAAGGCCUCAACAUGCAGGUAUGUAGACAUUGGUUGUACUGUGUUUCACUUUGCACUAGCUUUGCACAAUCUGCUAGACAAAUUCCUGACAAAAACUCCAGAAAUGUAUCCCCAUCCCCAGCAACGCGCGUUAAAUAUCUAC